rnacentral:rRNA from 1 species
GGUUAAGCGACUAAGCGUACACGGUGGAUGCCCUGGCAGUCAGAGGCGAUGAAGGACGUGCUAAUCUGCGAUAAGCGUCGGUGAGGUGAUAUGAACCGUUAUAACCGGCGAUUUCCGAAUGGGGAAACCCAGUGUGUUUCGACACACUAUCAUUAACUGAAUCCAUAGGUUAAUGAGGCGAACCGGGGGAACUGAAACAUCUAAGUACCCCGAGGAAAAGAAAUCAACCGAGAUUCCCCCAGUAGCGGCGAGCGAACGGGGAGGAGCCCAGAGCCUGAAUCAGUGUGUGUGUUAGUGGAAGCGUCUGGAAAGGCGUGCGAUACAGGGUGACAGCCCCGUACACAAAAAUGCACAUAUUGUGAGCUCGAUGAGUAGGGCGGGACACGUGGUAUCCUGUCUGAAUAUGGGGGGACCAUCCUCCAAGGCUAAAUACUCCUGACUGACCGAUAGUGAACCAGUACCGUGAGGGAAAGGCGAAAAGAACCCCGGCGAGGGGAGUGAAAAAGAACCUGAAACCGUGUACGUACAAGCAGUGGGAGCCUCUUAAUGGGGUGACUGCGUACCUUUUGUAUAAUGGGUCAGCGACUUAUAUUCUGUAGCAAGGUUAACCGAAUAGGGGAGCCGAAGGGAAACCGAGUCUUAACUGGGCGUUAAGUUGCAGGGUAUAGACCCGAAACCCGGUGAUCUAGCCAUGGGCAGGUUGAAGGUUGGGUAACACUAACUGGAGGACCGAACCGACUAAUGUUGAAAAAUUAGCGGAUGACUUGUGGCUGGGGGUGAAAGGCCAAUCAAACCGGGAGAUAGCUGGUUCUCCCCGAAAGCUAUUUAGGUAGCGCCUCGUGAAUUCAUCUCCGGGGGUAGAGCACUGUUUCGGCAAGGGGGUCAUCCCGACUUACCAACCCGAUGCAAACUGCGAAUACCGGAGAAUGUUAUCACGGGAGACACACGGCGGGUGCUAACGUCCGUCGUGAAGAGGGAAACAACCCAGACCGCCAGCUAAGGUCCCAAAGUCAUGGUUAAGUGGGAAACGAUGUGGGAAGGCCCAGACAGCCAGGAUGUUGGCUUAGAAGCAGCCAUCAUUUAAAGAAAGCGUAAUAGCUCACUGGUCGAGUCGGCCUGCGCGGAAGAUGUAACGGGGCUAAACCAUGCACCGAAGCUGCGGCAGCGACACUAUGUGUUGUUGGGUAGGGGAGCGUUCUGUAAGCCUGUGAAGGUGGCCUGUGAGGGUUGCUGGAGGUAUCAGAAGUGCGAAUGCUGACAUAAGUAACGAUAAAGCGGGUGAAAAGCCCGCUCGCCGGAAGACCAAGGGUUCCUGUCCAACGUUAAUCGGGGCAGGGUGAGUCGACCCCUAAGGCGAGGCCGAAAGGCGUAGUCGAUGGGAAACAGGUUAAUAUUCCUGUACUUGGUGUUACUGCGAAGGGGGGACGGAGAAGGCUAUGUUGGCCGGGCGACGGUUGUCCCGGUUUAAGCGUGUAGGCUGGUUUUCCAGGCAAAUCCGGAAAACCAAGGCUGAGGCGUGAUGACGAGGCACUACGGUGCUGAAGCGACAAAUGCCCUGCUUCCAGGAAAAGCCUCUAAGCAUCAGGUAACAUCAAAUCGUACCCCAAACCGACACAGGUGGUCAGGUAGAGAAUACCAAGGCGCUUGAGAGAACUCGGGUGAAGGAACUAGGCAAAAUGGUGCCGUAACUUCGGGAGAAGGCACGCUGAUAUGUAGGUGAAGCGACUUGCUCGUGGAGCU